rnacentral:rRNA from 1 species
GACGAACGCUGGCGGCGUGGAUUAGGCAUGCAAGUCGAACGGUAUCAUCCUUUCGGGGGUGAGAGAGUGGCGAACUGGUGAGUAACACGUAGGUUAUCUACCCUCAAGACGGGGACAACCCAGGGAAACUUGGGCUAAUACCGGAUGUGAGCAACUUUUAGUUGUUUGAAAGGUGGCGUAAGCUGUCGCUUGGGGAUGAGCCUGCGUCCUAUUAGUUAGUUGGUGAGGUAACGGCUCACCUAGGCAAUGAUAGGUAGGCGGCCUUAACGGGUGGUCGCCCACACUGGGAUUGAGAUACGGCCCAGACUCCUACGGGAGGCAGCAGUCGAGAAUAGUCUACAAUGGUCGGAAGACUGAUAGUGCGACGCCGCGUGAACGAUGAAUCCCUUCGGGGUGUAAAGUUCUUUUAUAUGUGAGCAGUGCUUCUUAUAUUAACGUAUGGGGAGAGAGAUAUUAGCAUAUGAAUAAGCAACGGCUAACUCCGUGCCAGCAGCCGACGGU